AGAGUUUGAUCCUGGCUCAGAUUGAACGCUGGCGGCAGGCUUAACACAUGCAAGUCGAGCGGGCGAGGUUGCUUCGGUAACUGAGCUAGCGGCGGACGGGUGAGUAAUGCUUAGGAAUCUGCCUAUUAGUGGGGGACAACAUUCCGAAAGGAAUGCUAAUACCGCAUACGCCCUACGGGGGAAAGCAGGGGAUCUUCGGACCUUGCGCUAAUAGAUGAGCCUAAGUCAGAUUAGCUAGUUGGUGGGGUAAAGGCCUACCAAGGCGACGAUCUGUAGCGGGUCUGAGAGGAUGAUCCGCCACACUGGGACUGAGACACGGCCCAGACUCCUACGGGAGGCAGCAGUGGGGAAUAUUGGACAAUGGGCGCAAGCCUGAUCCAGCCAUGCCGCGUGUGUGAAGAAGGCCUUUUGGUUGUAAAGCACUUUAAGCGAGGAGGAGGCUACUUGGAUUAAUACUCUAGGAUAGUGGACGUUACUCGCAGAAUAAGCACCGGCUAACUCUGUGCCAGCAGCCGCGGUAAUACAGAGGGUGCGAGCGUUAAUCGGAUUUACUGGGCGUAAAGCGUGCGUAGGCGGCUUUUUAAGUCGGAUGUGAAAUCCCUGAGCUUAACUUAGGAAUUGCAUUCGAUACUGGGAAGCUAGAGUAUGGGAGAGGAUGGUAGAAUUCCAGGUGUAGCGGUGAAAUGCGUAGAGAUCUGGAGGAAUACCGAUGGCGAAGGCAGCCAUCUGGCCUAAUACUGACGCUG
rnacentral:rRNA from 1 species